CCCUAUCCGUCGUGGGCGUAGGAAAUUUGAGAGGAGCUGUCCUUAGUACGAGAGGACCGGGAUGGACAUACCUCUGGUGUACCAGUUGUCGUGCCAACGGCAUAGCUGGGUAGCUAUGUGUGGACGGGAUAAGUGCUGAAAGCAUCUAAGCAUGAAGCCCCCCUCAAGAUGAGAUUUCCCAACUUCGGUUAUAAGAUCCCUUAAAGAUGAUGAGGUUAAUAGGUUCGAGGUGGAAGCAUGGUGACAUGUGUAGCUGACGAAUACUAAUCGAUCGAAGACUUAAUCAA
rnacentral:rRNA from 1 species